rnacentral:rRNA from 1 species
CUCGUACACACCGCCCGUCACACCACGAGAGUUUAUAACACCCGAAGUCGGUGAGGUAACCGCAAGGAGCCAGCCGCCGAAGGUGGGAUAGAUGAUUGGGGUG